rnacentral:rRNA from 1 species
GACGGAGGAUGCAAGCGUUAUCCGGAAUGAUUGGGCGUAAAGCGUCCGCAGGUGGCAGUUCAAGUCUGCUGUCAAAGACCGGGGCUUAACUUCGGAAAGGCAGUGGAAACUGAACAGCUAGAGUAUGGUAGGGGCAGAGGGAAUUCCUGGUGUAGCGGUGAAAUGCGCAGAUAUCAGGAGGAACACCAGUGGCGAAGGCGAGUCUCUGGACAUUUCCUGACGCUGAGGCACGAAAGCCAGGGGAGCAAACGGG